GGGCAUGCCUGUUUGAGUAUCAUGAACACCUCAACUCCUCAUGGUUUGCCGUGACGAGCUUGGACUUUGGAGGUCUUUGCUGGCCUGUGGUCAGCUCCUCUCAAAUGAAUCAGCUUGCCAGUGUUUGGUGGCAUCGCAGGUGUGAUAACUAUCUACGCUUGUGGUGUUCUGCCAGAUCACCUUCAGCAAUGGAGGUUCACUGGAGCUCACAAAUGUCUCUCCUCAGUGGGGACAGCUCUCUGAAUGUUUGAUCUCAAAUCAGGUAGGACUACCCGCUGAACUUAAGCAUAUCAAUAAGCGGAGG
rnacentral:rRNA from 1 species